UCUGGAGCCAGAAGUCCUCUGUUUAUGCACAGAACAGGUACAGCUGAGGCAGUGUGAAUGUUUACAACUGUUUUACUAGGGUGCCUCAUCUUGAAGAGUCCCAGUGGAGGAGGAACUAAGGAGCCAAGAGAGAAAGUUCUGGAAGGAAGUCCUCAGAACACCCAGACUCA
rnacentral:sRNA from 1 species